rnacentral:piRNA from 1 species
UGGAUGGUACUUCUGUUGGAAGACAGGUGG